rnacentral:rRNA from 1 species
AUACGUAGGUGACAAGCGUUAUCCGGAUUUACUGGGCGUAAAGGGCGUGUAGGCGGUCUUGCAAGUCAGAAGUGAAAUUCCUGAGCUCAACUCGGGCGCUGCUUCUGAAACUGCAGGACUUGAGUGCUGGAGGGGAUAGCGGAAUUCCUAGUGGAGCGGUAAAAUGCGCAGAUAUUAGGAAGAAAUCCGGAGGCGAAGGCGGCUAUCCGGGCAGUAACUGACGGUGAGGCGCGAAAGCGUGGAGUGAAAACAGGAUGAGAUACCCGUGUAUCCCACGCCGUAAACGAUGAAUACUAGGUGUAGGGAGUAUAGACUCCCUCUGUGCCGCAGUUAACACAAUAAGUAUUACGGCUGGGGAGUUCGGCCGCAAGGUUGAAACUCAAAGGAAUUGACGGGG